CAGAUGAAUUGUAGACUGAACUCA
rnacentral:piRNA from 1 species